rnacentral:rRNA from 1 species
GCUACUGCUAUUGGGGUUCGAUUAAGCCAUGCAAGUUGAACGAUUCUUCGGAAUCGUGGCGAACGGCUCAGUAACACGUGGAUAACCUACCCUUAGGACCGGUACCACCCUGGGAAACUGGGGACAAUCCCGGAUAGGUGAUUUUUUCUGUAAUGAUUUUUCAUUUAAAUGCUCCGGCGCCUGAGGAUGGGUCUGCGGCAGAUUAGGUAGUUGGUAGGGUAAUGGCCUACCAAGCCGGUGAUCUGUACGGGUUGUGAGAGCAAGAGCCCGGAAAUGGAACCUGAGACAAGGUUCCAGGCCCUACGGGGCGCAGCAGGCGCGAAACCUCCGCAAUGCGAGAAAUCGCGACGGGUUUGUCCCCAAGUGCCACUCUUUAACGGGGUGGCUUUUUCUUGAGUGUAAAAAAGCUUUUUGGGAAUAAGGGGGCUGGGCAAGACCGGUGCCAGCCGCCGCGGUAACACCGGCAGCUCUAGUGGUAGCCAUUUUUAUUGGGCCUAAAGCGUUCGUAGCCGGUUUGAUAAGUCUCUGGUGAAAUCCUGUAGCUUAACUGUGGGAAUUGCUGGAGAUACUAUUAGACUUGAGGUCGGGAGAGGUUAGCGGUACUCCCAGGGUAGGGGUGAAAUCCUGUAAUCCUGGGAGGACCACCUGUGGCGAAGGCGGCUAACUGGAACGAACCUGACGGUGAGGGACGAAAGCCAGGGGCGCGAACCGGAUAAGAUACCCGGGUAGUCCUGGCCGUAAACGAUG